rnacentral:lncRNA from 1 species
UAUUUAAAAGAUGCUCGCUUGAAAUAAAAAUACACAGAUAAAUUAAAAACAAGGGGAUAGAAAGAGAUGUACCAUGUGCAUUCUAUUUUUUUCUUAAAAAGCCGGAGCAGCUAUAUUAUUAACAGACAGAGUAGAAUUCAGAACAAGGGCAAAGAGAGGCAUUUCAUGAUAAAGGGAUUAAUUCAUAAAAAAGACAAAACAUUCCUAAAUGUGUAUGUACCAAUCACGAAGUCUCAAAAUACAUGAAGCAGAAACUGAUAUAACUGAAAGGACAAAUAGAAAAUCUAUAAUGAUAGGUAGAGAUUUCAAUACUUGUCUCUCAGUAAUUAAUAGAACAAGCAAACAAAACAAAAUAAAACCAGUAAUAAUUGGUAAGAAUGGAACUCUCUUCCGUUGCUGAUAGGAGUGUAAAAUGGUACAAUCGUUUUAGAAAAUGGUUUGGUAACCUCUAAUAAAGUUAAACAUAUGCUUUCAACAUAACCCAGCAAUCCCAAUCAUAGAUAUUUACCCCCCAAAAAAUGAAAACAUAUAUCCAUAUGAAAAGCUAAUUUCUUUAUUCAUAAUUGUGCCAAAUAGAAACAACCCAAAUGUCAUCAACAGGUGAGUAGAUAAGUAAAUUGUGGUCUAUAUAUACAAUGGAAUACUAUUGAGCAAUGAAAAGGAGUGAACAAAUUAGACAUGUAACAACAUGAGCAGAUCAACCUCAGAAACAUGCUGAAUGAAAGCCAGGCAAAUAAAGAGGAAUUCUGUAUGAAGCUCCAGAAGGCAGGAAUCUAAUCUGUAGUGACAAAAAUUAGACCUGUGAUUUCCUAAGGCCAGGGGUAGGGGUUGGCGAUUAUUUGGGAAAGAGCACGAAGGAGCCUUUUGGUAGGAUGGAUAUGUUUUAUAUCAUCACUGUCCAACACUGCAGAACUUUCUGCAAUGGUAAAAAUGUCUUCCAUUUGCACUGUCUAAUAUGCUGAAUAACAGUCACAUAUGGCUACUGAGGAUUUGAAACAUACCUAGUACAACUGAGGACGUUUUUCAUUUUAAUUUUAGCUCAUUAGACUUGAAAUAGCCACAUGUGUUUAGUGGCUAUUCUACUGGACAGCACGGUAUCUAUAUCUUGAUUGUUGCAGUAAUUGUGUGCAUGGAUAAAUUUGUCAAAACUUAUUAUAAAAUACACUAAAAAUAGGUGCAUUUUAUUGUAUAUAAGCCU